UACAGAGGUCUCGAGCGUUGUUCGGAUUCAUUGGGCGUAAAGGGCGCGUAGGCGGCGGGGUAAGUCUGGUGUGAAAUCUCGGAGCUCAACUCCGAAAUUGCACUGGAUACUGCUCUGCUAGAGGGCUGGAGAGGAGAUCGGAAUUCACGGUGUAGCAGUGAAAUGCGUAGAUAUCGUGAGGAAGACCAGUGGCGAAGGCGGAUCUCUGGACAGCUCCUGACGCUGAGGCGCGAAGCUAGGGGAGCAAACGGG
rnacentral:rRNA from 1 species